CGACCUAGGGAUCGAUCUGGAGGGACUUGGGGAGCGUGCAGAGACCUCUAGCUCGAGCGCGAGGGACCUCCCGCCGGGAUGCCUGGGAGCAGAUGGACCCUACUGGAAGUCAGUUGGAUUCAGAUUUCUCUCAGCAAGAUACUCCUUGCCUGAUAAUUGAAGAUUCUCAGCCUGAAAGCCAGGUUCUAGAGGAUGAUUCUGGUUCUCACUUCAGUAUGCUAUCUCGACACCUUCCUAAUCUCCAGACGCACAAAGAAAAUCCUGUGUUGGUGAGUGAUAC
rnacentral:lncRNA from 1 species